AUGAGCGGACAGAAGGGAGCUUGCUCCCGGAUGUUAGCGGCGGACGGGUGAGUAACACGUGGGUAACCUGCCUGUAAGACUGGGAUAACUCCGGGAAACCGGAGCUAAUACCGGAUAGUUCCUUGAACCGCAUGGUUCAAGGAUGAAAGACGGUUUCGGCUGUCACUUACAGAUGGACCCGCGGCGCAUUAGCUAGUUGGUGAGGUAACGGCUCACCAAGGCGACGAUGCGUAGCCGACCUGAGAGGGUGAUCGGCCACACUGGGACUGAGACACGGCCCAGACUCCUACGGGAGGCAGCAGUAGGGAAUCUUCCGCAAUGGACGAAAGUCUGACGGAGCAACGCCGCGUGAGUGAUGAAGGUUUUCGGAUCGUAAAGCUCUGUUGUUAGGGAAGAACAAGUGCAAGAGUAACUGCUUGCACCUUGACGGUACCUAACCAGAAAGCCACGGCUAACUACGGCCAGCAGCCGCGGAAUACGAG
rnacentral:rRNA from 1 species